rnacentral:rRNA from 1 species
UUAAGUGACUAAGCGUACAAGGUGGAUGCCUUGGCAAUCAGAGGCGAUGAAGGACGUGCUAAUCUGCGAAAAGCUUGGAUGAGUCGAUAAGAGGCGUUUAAUCCAAGAUGUCCGAAUGGGGAAACCCAGUAGAUGAAGAAUCUACUAUCACUUACUGAAUACAUAGGUAAGUGAGGCAAACCGGGAGAACUGAAACAUCUAAGUACCCCGAGGAAAAGAAAUCAACCGAGAUUUCGUUAGUAGCGGCGAGCGAACGCGAAGGAGCCUGUUAGUGAUAAUGACAGAGACAGAGGAACAAGCUGGGAAGCUUGGCGAUACAGGGUGAUAGCCCCGUACUCGAAGUCCAGGUCAUGGUACUAAGCUAACGACAAGUAGGGCGGGACACGUGAUAUCCUGUUUGAAGAUGGGGGGACCAUCCUCCAAGGCUAAAUACUCCUGAUUGACCGAUAGUGAACCAGUACUGUGAAGGAAAGGCGAAAAGAACCCCGGUGAGGGGAGUGAAAUAGAACCUGAAACCUUGUACGUACAAGCAGUGGGAGCCCUUUAAGGGUGACUGCGUACCUUUUGUAUAAUGGGUCAGCGACUUAUAUUUUGUAGCGAGGUUAACCGAAUAGGGGAGCCGAAGGGAAACCGAGUCUUAACUGGGCGUCUAGUUGCAAGGUAUAGACCCGAAACCCGGUGAUCUAGCCAUGGGCAGGUUGAAGGUUGGGUAACACUAACUGGAGGACCGAACCGACUAAUGUUGAAAAAUUAGCGGAUGACUUGUGGCUGGGGGUGAAAGGCCAAUCAAACCGGGAGAUAGCUGGUUCUCCCCGAAAUCUAUUUAGGUAGAGCCUUGAGCGGACACCUUCGGGGGUAGAGCACUGUUUCGGCUAGGGGUCCAUCCCGGAUUACCAACCCGAUGCAAACUACGAAUACCGAAGAGUGAUACUCAGGAGACACACGGCGGGUGCUAACGUCCGUCGUGGAGAGGGAAACAACCCAGACCGCCAGCUAAGGUCCCAAAGUCUAUAUUAAGUGGGAAACGAAGUGGGAAGGCUUAGACAGCUAGGAUGUUGGCUUAGAAGCAGCCAUCAUUUAAAGAAAGCGUAAUAGCUCACUAGUCGAGUCGGCCUGCGCGGAAGAUGUAACGGGGCUCAAAUAUAGCACCGAAGCUGCGGCAUCAGACGAAAGUCUGUUGGGUAGGGGAGCGUUCUGUAAGCGGAUGAAGGUGAAUCGAGAGGUUUGCUGGACGUAUCAGAAGUGCGAAUGCUGACAUAAGUAACGAUAAAACGGGUGAAAAACCCGUUCGCCGGAAGACCAAGGGUUCCUGUCCAACGUUAAUCGGGGCAGGGUGAGUCGGCCCCUAAGGCGAGGCUGAAAAGCGUAGUCGAUGGGAAACGGGUUAAUAUUCCCGUACUUGGAUAAACUGCGAUGUGGGGACGGAGCAGGUUAGGUUAUCGCACUGUUGGAUAUGUGCGUUUAAGUUUGUAGGUGGGAAGUUUAGGCAAAUCCGGACUUCUAUAAACACUGAGAGAUGAUGACGAGGCUCUACGGAGCUGAAGUAACCGAUACCACACUUCCAGGAAAAGCCACUAAGCUUCAGGUUUAUCUAAACCGUACUGAAAACCGACACAGGUGGUCAGGUAGAGAAUACUCAGGCGCUUGAGAGAACUCGGGUGAAGGAACUAGGCAAAAUAGCACCGUAACUUCGGGAGAAGGUGCGCCGGCGUAGAUUGUAGUCCCUUGCGGAUGAAGGUUGAACCGGUCGAAGAUACCAGCUGGCUGCAACUGUUUAUUAAAAACACAGCACUCUGCAAACACGAAAGUGGACGUAUAGGGUGUGACGCCUGCCCGGUGCUGGAAGGUUAAUUGAAGAUGUGCAAGCAUCGGAUCGAAGCCCCAGUAAACGGCGGCCGUAACUAUAACGGUCCUAAGGUAGCGAAAUUCCUUGUCGGGU